rnacentral:tRNA from 1 species
GGAGAGAUGGCCGAGUAGGUCGAAGGCGCUCGCCUGCUAAGCGAGUGUGCGUGGAAACACGCACCGUGGGUUCGAAUCCCACUCUCUCCGCCA